CACACACACACACACACAACACACACACACACAACACACAUAUAAUGUAAGAAAUAUAAACUCAGAUAAAUAUGUGGCCAUAUUGCAGAAAGGGCCCCUUCCAAUCUUCUCCGGUGGUGAAAUGACAAAAGAAGACUCUUUAUUUAUGGAAGAUGGGGCUCCUUAUCACAUGGCUAAAAUGACCCAAGAUUUGUUGAAUGAGAAUAGCAUUAAAAAGCCUUCAUGACCAAGCCAGUUGCCAGAUAUGAACCCUAUUGAACACCUCUGGGGCGUAAUGAA